rnacentral:rRNA from 1 species
GGUGGUGAAGCGCAGCGAUGCGUUGAGCUAACCGGUACUAAUGAACCGUGAGGCUUAACCUUACAUCGCCGAAG